rnacentral:rRNA from 1 species
GUGAGGAAUAUUGGUCAAUGGGCGAGAGCCUGAACCAGCCAAGUCGCGUGAAGGAAGAAUGAUCUAUGGUUCGUAAACUUCUUUUGCAGGGGAAUAAAGUGCGGGACGUGUCCUGUUUUGUAUGUACCCUGAGAAUAAGGAUCGGCUAACUCCGUGCCAGCAGCCGCGGUAAUACGGAGGAUCCGAGCGUUAUCCGGAUUUAUUGGGUUUAAAGGGUGCGUAGGUGGUUUGAUAAGUCAGCGGUGAAAGUUUGCAGCUUAACUGUAAAAAUGCCGUUGAAACUGUCGGACUUGAGUGUAAAUGAGGUAGGCGGAAUGCGUGGUGUAGCGGUGAAAUGCAUAGAUAUCACGCAGAACUCCGAUUGCGAAGGCAGCUUACUAAGCUACAACUGACACUGAAGCACGAAAGCGUGGGGAUCAAACAGGAUUAGAUACCCGUGUAGUCC